GAUGAACGCUAGCGGCAGGCUUAAUACAUGCAAGUCGAACGGUAAGAGAUGUAGCAAUACAUUUCCUAGAGUGACGUACGGGUGCGUAACACGUAUGCAACCUACCUGUAACAGGAGUAUAGCUCGGGGGAAACUCGAAUUAACCCUCCAUAAGAUCGUGAAGUGGCAUCACUUAGCGCUUAAAACUGAGGUGGUUACAGAUGGGGCAUGCGUCUGAUUUAGAGUUGGCGGGGUAAAGGCCCACCAAGACGAUGAUCAGUAGGGGAACUGAGAGGUUGACUCCCCCACACU
rnacentral:rRNA from 1 species